UGAGUAACACGUGGGGAACCUGCCCCUAAGUCUGGGAUACCAUUUGGAAACAGGCUGCUAAUACCGGAUAAUAAAGCAGAUCGCAUGAUCAGCUUUUUGAAAGGCGGCGUAAGCUGUCGCUAAGGGAUGGCCCCGCGGUGCAUUAGCUAGUUGGUAAGGUAACGGCUUACCAAGGCGACGAUGCAUAGCCGAGUUGAGAGACUGAUCGGCCACAUUGGGACUGAGACACGGCCCAAACUCCUACGGGAGGCAGCAGUAGGGAAUCUUCCACAAUGGACGCAAGUCUGAUGGAGCAACGCCGCGUGAGUGAAGAAGGUUUUCGGAUCGUAAAGCUCUGUUGUUGGUGAAGAAGGAUAGAGGUAGUAACUGGCCUUUAUUUGACGGUAAUCAACCAGAAAGUCACGGCUAACUACGUGCCAGCAGCCGCGGUAAUACGUAGGUGGCAAGCGUUGUCCGGAUUUAUUGGGCGUAAAGCGAGCGCAGGCGGAAAAAAUAAGUCUAAUGUGAAAGCCCUCGGCUUAACCGAGGAACUGCAUCGGAAACUGUUUUUCUUGAGUGCAGAAGUGGAGAGUGGAACUCCAUGUGUAGCGGUGGAAUGCGUUAAAUAUAUGGAAGAAACACCAGUGGGCGAAGGCGGCUCUCUGGGUCUGCAACUGACGCUGAGGCUCGAAAGC
rnacentral:rRNA from 1 species